UACAGAGGUCUCAAGCGUUGUUCGGAUUCAUUGGGCGUAAAGGGGUGCGUAGGUGGCGCUGUAAGUCGGGUGUGAAAUUUCGGAGCUUAACUCCGAAACUGCAUUCGAUACUGCGGUGCUUGAGGACUGGAGAGGAGACUGGAAUUCAUGGUGUAGCAGUGAAAUGCGUAGAGAUCAUGAGGAAGACCAGUGGCGAAGGCGGGUCUCUGGACAGUUCCUGACACUGAGGCACGAAGGCCAGGGGAGCAAACGGG
rnacentral:rRNA from 1 species